rnacentral:rRNA from 1 species
CGUGUAGGCGGGAGAGCAAGUCAGAAGUGAAAUCUAUGGGCUUAACCCAUAAACUGCUUUUGAAACUGUUCUUCUUGAGUAUCGGAGAGGCAGGCGGAAUUCCUAGUGUAGCGGUGAAAUGCGUAGAUAUUAGGAGGAACACCAGUGGCGAAGGCGGCCUGCUGGACGACAACUGACGCUGAGGCGCGAAAGCGUGGGAGCAAACA